GACGAACGCUGGCGGCGUGCCUAAUACAUGCAAGUCGAGCGCAGGAAACCGUCUGAACCCUUCGGGGGGACGACGGCGGAAUGAGCGGCGGACGGGUGAGUAACACGUAAAGAACCUGCCCACGGGUCUGGGAUAACCACGAGAAAUCGGGGCUAAUACCGGACGGGUCAUCGGACCGCAUGGUCCGAGGAUGAAAGGCGCUCCGGCGUCGCCCGUGGAUGGCUUUGCGGUGCAUUAGCUAGUUGGUGGGGUAACGGCCCACCAAGGCGACGAUGCAUAGCCGACCUGAGAGGGUGAUCGGCCACACUGGGACUGAGACACGGCCCAGACUCCUACGGGAGGCAGCAGUAGGGAAUCUUCCACAAUGGACGAAAGUCUGAUGGAGCAACGCCGCGUGAACGAUGAAGGCCCUCGGGUCGUAAAGUUCUGUUGUAAGGGAAGAACGAGUGCCGCAGGCAAUGGCGGCACCUUGACGGUACCUUGCGAGAAAGCCACGGCUAACUACGUGCCAGCCGCCGCCGUAAAAC
rnacentral:rRNA from 1 species